AGGAGUGGAGCCUGCGGCUUAAUUUGACUCAACACGGGAAACCUCACCAGGCCCGGACACCGGAAGGAUUGACAGAUUGAGAGCUCUUUCUUGAUUCGGUGGGUGGUGGUGCAUGGCCGUUCUUAGUUGGUAGUGUGAAUCGUCUGGUUAAUUCCGUUAACGAACGAGACUCUAGCCAGCUAAAUAGGCGUUAUUCCGGUAUCCUGAAGGCUCGUGUCUCUCGUCUUCUGGCGUGUUUUUUUGUCAUGUAUUAUCGUUUCGGCGGUUUGCAUGGCAUUGGAUGCGUUCAGUGCGGGGGUUCACGGUUUUUACUACCGGCGUACAUAAUAAAUCUUCUUAGAGGGACAGGCGGCUUCUAGCCGCACGAGAAUGAGCAAUAACAGGUCUGUAAUGCCCUUAGAUGUUCUGGGCCG
rnacentral:rRNA from 1 species